rnacentral:rRNA from 2 species
UUUUUUAUAAAAAUAAUUUAUUUAUUUAAGGUUUUAGUAUUUAUUAAAAAUUAAUUUAUAGAUUUAUAGUUUAAUAGUAUUGUGAAAGAAAUUAUUAAAUUUUUAAAAGAAUUUAAUUAGUACCUUUUGUAUCAGGGUUGAUUAAAAUUUUUAAUUUUUUUUUAAUUUCUCAAAAUUUAUAGAGUUAAUUUUAUUAUUAAUUUAUUGUGUUAUAAAUAUUUAAAAAAUAAUAUUAGUUUUGAAAUUUAAUUCGUUAUAUUAUAUUUAGUUAUUUAAGAUUUAAAUUUAAUUUAAAAUUUUAAAAGUUAUGUUAAUUUUAUUGAUUAAUAUUUUAAAUUUAAAUUAUUUUAGGGAUAAGCUUGAAAUUUUUAUAUAAUAAUUUAUUUAUUUUAAUAAUUUAUAGGAAUAGAAAUUUUUAUUUUAAGUUUGUAAAAAUUUAUUAUUUGUUUAAUUUUAAUUUAUUAUAUUUAUAUUUAUUUUUUUUAUUAAAUUUUAUUAAUUAAUAUUUAAUUAAUAGUAAUAAUGAUUAAAUUAGUAUAAUAUGGAUAUUUAUAAAUUAUGAAUUCGGCAAAAAUUAUUUUCAUCUGUUUAACAAAAACAUUGUAUUAAGUUUAAUUUAAUAUAGGAUCUGCUCAAUGAUUUAUUAAAUAGCUGCAGUAUUUUGACUGUGCAAAGGUAGCAUAAUAAUUAGUCUUUUAAUUGAGGACUUGUAUGAAAGAUUUGAUGAGAAAUAAACUUUAUUAUUUAUAAAAUUAAAAUUUUAUUUUUAAGUAAAAAAGCUUAAAUUAUUUAAAGGGACGAUAAGACCCUAUAAAACUUUAUAAAUUUUGAUUUUAAUUUUUUUGGAUUUAUAAAUAUUUUAUUAUUAAAAUUUAUUUUAUUGGGGUGAUAAAAAAAAUUAUUAAACUUUUUUUAAAGUUUAACAUUAUUUAAUGAAUAUUUGAAUUAAAAUUUUUAAUUAAAGGAAAAAGUUACUUUAGGGAUAACAGCGUAAUUAAUUUUUUAAGUUCAAAUUUAAAAAUUAGUUUGCGACCUCGAUGUUGAAUUAAGAUUAAUUUUAGGUGCAAAAUUUUAAAUAUUAGGUCUGUUCGACCUUUAAA